rnacentral:rRNA from 1 species
UACGGAGGGUGCAAACGUUGCUCGGAAUCAUUGGGCGUAAAGCGCGCGUAGGCGGCCCGCUAAGUCGAACGUGAAAUCCCCGAGCUCAACUCGGGAACUGCGUCCGAUACUGGCGGGCUUGAAUCCGGGAGAGGGAUGCGGAAUUCCAGGUGUAGCGGUGAAAUGCGUAGAUAUCAGGAAGAACACCCGUGGCUAAGGCGGUUCUCUAGUACGGUACUGACGCUGAGACGCGAAAGCGUGGGGAGCGAACAGG